GAUAACAGGUCUGUGAUGCCUUUAGAUGUUCAGGGCCGCACGCGCUCUACACUGGCGGUAUCAGCGGGCGCGUCUCCCUCGGCCCGAGAGGGUCGGGAAACCUCUGAACCACCUCCCGUGAUAGGGUUGUCAAACGAUGUUGGGGGGGACAAACACAGACACACACAUACAUACAUAUAUACAACG
rnacentral:ncRNA from 1 species